rnacentral:tRNA from 2 species
GGGCGGUUAGCUCAGCUGGUUAGAGCGCCUGCCUUACAAGCAGGAUGUCGGGGGUUCGAGUCCCUCACUGCCCA